rnacentral:snoRNA from 12 species
GCUGGAGGACUAAGAAGGCUGAGUCUGAUGAAGCAAGACUCUGCUGAUACAAUCCUCCUAAAAUAAAGGGUGGAGAGAGCAGCCCUUAUUGGAGAAUAUCACAGGGUUGACUGUACUACCCAACAUUU